AGUGAACGCUGGCGGUAGGCCUAACACAUGCAAGUCGAACGGCAGCACAGUAAGAGCUUGCUCUUACGGGUGGCGAGUGGCGGACGGGUGGGGAAUACAUCGGAAUCUACUUUUUCGUGGGGGAUAACGUAGGGAAACUUACGCUAAUACCGCAUACGACCUACGGGUGAAAGCAGGGGAUCUUCGGACCUUGCGCGAUCGAAUGAGCCGAUGUCGGAUUAGCUAGUUGGCGGGGUAAAGGCCCACCAAGGCGACGAUCCGUAGCUGGUCUGAGAGGAUGAUCAGCCACACUGGAACUGAGACACGGUCCAGACUCCUACGGGAGGCAGCAGUGGGGAAUAUUGGACAAUGGGCGCAAGCCUGAUCCAGCCAUACCGCGUGGGUGAAGAAGGCCUUCGGGUUGUAAAGCCCUUUUGUUGGGAAAGAAAAGCAGCAGGUUAAUACCCCGCUGUUCUGACGGUACCCAAAGAAUAAGCACCGGCUAACUUCGUG
rnacentral:rRNA from 1 species